UUUGAAUAGUUAUAAUAUAUUUAUUUAUUUAAUUAGAUGAGAUUAUUUCUAUUAUUAUUAUUUUAUAUUUUGGGUUUGUGCAGUUAGUUGAGCGGUAUUUAGCCCAAAUAGGAAGCGAAAGUAGAUUCCCUCAAUUUGGUUUGGCGGUUGAAGGACGUUUGCCUUUGUUGCUUUUGUCGGUUGAGUUAAACCAAACCCAAACCCAAAGAAAUCCAAUCUCAUUUUCAUUUCUCCUUCCCCGUGAAAAUCCAUUUCAUUCAAAACCCCAAACCCCAAUUCUCUCUCUUUCUCUCGCGGAUCCUGCCCGAUACCCCACCGACGAACGACCGCCGGACUUGCGCUGCUGCUGCUCGUCGGUGUUCGCCUAUUGUCGCGUCUUCCCUCGGCCGAAGUUUUCCCCUUGUCGGCGCCGUCUGUUCUCGUUUUCUCUCUCCUACUCUGUUUCGUCGCUGGUGGUGGUGUUCCUGUUCGCCGCUACGUGUGUCGCACCACUAGUACGCCGCCUCACCGGACCCGCGUUGUUAAUUUGUCACCUCGCCCCUGCCGUACGUGUCUUCCCUACUCUUGAGGCAGAGAUUGGAGAAAGAGGGUACAUAUUAUCAAGCACAAGACGCAUUCUUAGUUACAAUUAAAGUACUAUGUGGUUUAUAAUUUGUCUAUGUAAAAAGAUCGGAGAAUAUUGCGUUUUUAUUUAGUUGCCAAUGGAACUUUUUUAUUUCAAGUACAUUUAAUGUAAAGAUAUUAAAAAUUUUAAAUUAAUAAUAAUAUUUCGUUAUUCCAUAUUAAAAA